UUUGAUCAUGGCUCAGAUUGAACGCUGGCGGCAUGCCUUACACAUGCAAGUCGAACGGCAGCGCGGGCUUCGGCCUGGCGGCGAGUGGCGAACGGGUGAGUAAUGCAUCGGAACGUACCCAGUCGUGGGGGAUAACACAUCGAAAGAUGUGCUAAUACCGCAUACGUCCUGAGGGAGAAAGCGGGGGACCUUCGGGCCUUGCGCUAUCAGAUGAGCCUAGGUCGGAUUAGCUAGUUGGUGAGGUAAUGGCUCACCAAGGCGACGAUCCGUAACUGGUCUGAGAGGAUGAUCAGUCACACUGGAACUGAGACACGGUCCAGACUCCUACGGGAGGCAGCAGUGGGGAAUAUUGGACAAUGGGCGAAAGCCUGAUCCAGCCAUGCCGCGUGUGUGAAGAAGGUCUUCGGAUUGUAAAGCACUUUAAGUUGGGAGGAAGGGCAGUUACCUAAUACGUGAUUGUUUUGACGUUACCGACAGAAUAAGCACCGGCUAACUCUGUGCCAGCAGCCGCGGUAAU
rnacentral:rRNA from 1 species